CAUUCAUGCCGCGUGAGUGAUGAAGGCCUUAGGGUUGUAAAGCUCUUUUACCCGGGAUGAUAAUGACAGUACCGGGAGAAUAAGCUCCGGCUAACUCCGUGCCAGCAGCCGCGGUAAUACGGAGGGAGCUAGCGUUGUUCGGAAUUACUGGGCGUAAAGCGCACGUAAGCGGCUAUUCAAGUCAGAGGUGAAAGCCCGGGGCUCAACCCCGGAACUGCCUUUGAAACUAGAUAGCUUGAAUCCAGGAGAGGUGAGUGGAAUUCCGAGUGUAGAGGUGAAAUUCGUAUAUAUUCGGAAGAACACCAGUGGCGAAGGCGGCUCACUGGACUGGUAUUGACGCUGAGGUGCGAAAGCGUGGGGAGCAAACAGGAUUAAAUACCCUGGUAGUCCACGCCGUAAACGAUGAUAACUAGCUGUCAGGGCACAUGGUGUUUUGGUGGCGCAGCUAACGCAUUAAGUUAUCCGCCUGGGGAGUACGGUCGCAAGAUUAAAACUCAAAGGAAAUUUGACGGAUC
rnacentral:rRNA from 1 species